rnacentral:rRNA from 1 species
UACGAGGGGGGCGAGCGUUGUUCGGAAUUAUUGGGCGUAAAGGGCGCGUAGGCGGCCGGAUAAGUCUUGUGUGAAAUCUUCGGGCUCAACUCGAAGUCUGCACAGGAAACUAUCUGGCUUGAGUGUGGGAGAGGUGAGUGGAAUUCCUGGUGUAGCGGUGAAAUGCGUAGAGAUCGGGAGGAACAUCUGUGGCGAAGGCGGCCACCUGGACCUACACUGACACUGAGGCACGAAAGCGUGGGGAGCAAACAGG